GACGAACGCUGGCGGCGUGCCUAAUACAUGCAAGUAGAACGCUGAAGGAGGAGCUUGCUCUUCUGGAUGAGUUGCGAACGGGUGAGUAACGCGUAGGUAACCUGCCUGGUAGCGGGGGAUAACUAUUGGAAACGAUAGCUAAUACCGCAUAAGAGUAGAUGUUGCAUGACAUUUGCUUAAAAGGUGCAAUUGCAUCACUACCAGAUGGACCUGCGUUGUAUUAGCUAGUUGGUGGGGUAACGGCUCACCAAGGCGACGAUACAUAGCCGACCUGAGAGGGUGAUCGGCCACACUGGGACUGAGACACGGCCCAGACUCCUACGGGAGGCAGCAGUAGGGAAUCUUCGGCAAUGGACGGAAGUCUGACCGAGCAACGCCGCGUGAGUGAAGAAGGUUUUCGGAUCGUAAAGCUCUGCUGUAAGAGAAGAACGAGUGUGAGAGUGGAAAGUUCACACUGUGAUGGUAUCUUACCAGAAAGGGACGGCUAACUACGUG
rnacentral:rRNA from 1 species